rnacentral:rRNA from 1 species
UUAGAUCUCAAAUCAGGCAGGAUUACCCGCUGAACUUAAGCAUAUCAAUAAGCGGAGGAAAAGAAACUAACAAGGAUUCCCCUAGUAGCGGCGAGCGAAGCGGGAAAAGCUCAAAUUUGUAAUCUGGCGUCUACGACGUCCGAGUUGUAAUCUCGAGAAGUGUUUUCCGUGAUAGACCGCAUACAAGUCUCUUGGAACAGAGCGUCAUAGUGGUGAGAACCCAGUACACGAUGCGGAUGCCUAUUACUUUGUGAUACACUUUCGAAGAGUCGAGUUGUUUGGGAAUGCAGCUCAAAUUGGGUGGUAAAUUCCAUCUAAAGCUAAAUAUUGGCGAGAGACCGAUAGCGAACAAGUACCGUGAGGGAAAGAUGAAAAGCACUUUGGAAAGAGAGUUAACAGUACGUGAAAUUGUUGGAAGGGAAACACAUGCAGCCAGACUUGCUAUUCGGGGCAACUCGAUUGGCAGGCCCGCAUCAGUUUUUCGGGGCGGAAAAGCAUAGAGAGAAGGUAGCAAUUUCGGUUGUGUUAUAGCUCUUUAUUGGAUUCGCCCUGGGGGACUGAGGAACGCAGCGUGCUUUUAGCAUAAGCUUCGGCUUAUCCACGCUUAGGAUGCGGGUGUAAUGGCUGUAUAUGACCCGUCUUGAAACACGG